UUGAACGCUGGCGGCAGGCCUAACACAUGCAAGUCGAGCGGAUGAAGGGAGCUUGCUCCUGGAUUCAGCGGCGGACGGGUGAGUAAUGCCUAGGAAUCUGCCUGGUAGUGGGGGAUAACGUCCGGAAACGGGCGCUAAUACCGCAUACGUCCUGAGGGAGAAAGUGGGGGAUCUUCGGACCUCACGCUAUCAGAUGAGCCUAGGUCGGAUUAGCUAGUUGGUGGGGUAAAGGCCUACCAAGGCGACGAUCCGUAACUGGUCUGAGAGGAUGAUCAGUCACCUGGGAAGGGAGACAGGGUCAAGAGUACUACGGGAGGCAGCAGUGGGGAAUAUGGGACAGUGGGGGAAAGCAUGAUCCAGCCAGGCGGCGUGUGUGAAGAAGGUCUUGGGAUUGUAAAGAAGGUUAAGUUGGGAGGAAGGGCAGUAGGUUAAGACCUUGCUGUUUUGACGUUACCAACAGAAUAAGCACCGGCUAACUUCGUG
rnacentral:rRNA from 1 species